UACGGGGGGAGCAAGCGUUGUUCGGAUUUACUGGGCGGAAAGGGCGCGUAGGCGGCGUGACAAGUCACUUGUGAAAUCUCCGGGCUUAACUCGGAGCGGUCAAGUGAUACUGUCGUGCUAGAGUGCGGAAGGGGCUACUGGAAUUCUCGGUGUAGCGGUGAAAUGCGUAGAUAUCGAGAGGAACACCUGCGGCGAAGGCGGGUAGCUGGGCCGACACUGACGCUGAUGCGCGAAAGCCAGGGGAGCGAACGGG
rnacentral:rRNA from 1 species